rnacentral:misc_RNA from 1 species
AAUUAUGAUUAUUAUUAUUAUUAUAAUUGAUAUUGUUGUUAUUUGUCUGUUCAUUGCAGUCUUCGGCCAAUGGCGUUGCACUUAUCUCGAGAAAUGCGAUGGAAUCGCUUAUAGAACGGCGGUGGACGCCGCGUCUGGCGGACGUGAAGUCCAAGAAUUCAUCAACCCAGGAGGGUUGACGGGUGUCAACAACAACGGCGGCUGCAGCGGUGGCGCUGGUGUGAGUAUUGGAGAGAUAGUUAGACAUUGUUUGAUGAGGAAAUGGAGGCCAAUUUGGAGUG